rnacentral:rRNA from 1 species
GUCGACGGCAGCAUAGGAGCUUGCUCCUGAUGGCGAGUGGCGAACGGGUGAGUAAUAUAUCGGAACGUGCCCUAGAGUGGGGGAUAACUAGUCGAAAGACUAGCUAAUACCGCAUACGAUCUACGGAUGAAAGUGGGGGAUCGCAAGACCUCAUGCUCCUGGAGCGGCCGAUAUCUGAUUAGCUAGUUGGUGGGGUAAAAGCCUACCAAGGCAACGAUCAGUAGCUGGUCUGAGAGGACGACCAGCCACACUGGGACUGAGACACGGCCCAGACUCCUACGGGAGGCAGCAGUGGGGAAUUUUGGACAAUGGGGGCAACCCUGAUCCAGCAAUGCCGCGUGAGUGAAGAAGGCCUUCGGGUUGUAAAGCUCUUUUGUCAGGGAAGAAACGGUAGUAGCGAAUAACUAUUACUAAUGACGGUACCUGAAGAAUAAGCACCGGCUAACUACGUGCCAGCAGCCGCGGUAAUACGUAGGGUGCAAGCGUUAAUCGGAAUUACUGGGCGUAAAGCGUGCGCAGGCGGUUGUGUAAGUCAGAUGUGAAAUCCCCGGGCUCAACCUGGGAAUUGCAUUUGAGACUGCACGGCUAGAGUGUGUC